rnacentral:lncRNA from 1 species
GAAGAGGAAACUUAAAAACAGAAGGGUAUUCAUUCCACCUCAAGUGAAAACAGCUAAGAAAAUAUCAUGCAAAUGGAGACAGCAUACAUAAAGUUAUCAGCAUUGUUUCAUAAGAACCUCCCAAAUAUGCUUGAAUGAGGAGAAAAUGAGAAGAACUAGGAUCAUGUCCACCACAUGCAAGCUGUUAUCAGCCAUGUAAAUGAAGAUGUUGAGAGUGAAAACAGAAACAGAAGAACACACUUUCUAAAGAGCUUUCAAUUUUUAAAGAAGAAACAAACAAAACACCUGCCAAAAGAGUCAAUACUCAUUAACACAAGAAAUGUUUCACUGAAAAUCCCAUUUGCCCGCUUCCUCCGUAAAGGCCAGCAAUAAUACCAACUGAGGAGGAUGUCAGAUAUCACAGAACACUUAGAAUGAAAUGACUGCAAGCGCGUGAGUGGGUGGGAGACUCGGGAACCGCAAACCCCGCCCCCAAAGCAGCCCUUCCAAGUUGCGGUCUAAAAUGAAAUUUAAACGCCACAUAGUCAAACCAAGUGACUAAAAGAAGAAGAAACCAGAAUCAGAACCCCUGUGGCUUCUUGUUUUAAUUUCAAGUCGUCCCUUCAACUUUAUUCAGCGAAAAUAAAAGGAACGAGGGGAAGAGUUUUAGGCUCUCU